rnacentral:rRNA from 1 species
GACGAACGCUGGCGGCGUGCUUAACACAUGCAAGUCGAACGGAAAGGCCCUGCUUGCCGGGUACUCGAGUGGCGAACGGGUGAGUAACACGUUGGUGAUCUGCCCUGCACUUCGGGUUAAGCCUUGGAAACUGGGUCUAUUACCGGAUAGGAGCCAUUUUUAUUGUGUUGGUUGGAAAGUUUUUUCGGUGUAGGAUGAGCUCGCGGCCUAUCUGCUUGUUGGUGGGGUAAUGGCCUACCAAGGCGGCGACGGGUAGCCGGACUGAGAGGGUGGACGGCGAAAUAGGGAAUGAGAGAAGGCACAGAAGCAUAAGGGAGGAAGAAGGGGGGAAGAUUGAAAAAUGGGAGCAAGCCUGAUGCAGCGAGGCCGCGGGGGGGAUGACGGCCUUCGGGUUGUAAAAUAAUUUCGCUAGGGAAGAAGCUUUUUGUGACGGUACCUAGAGAAGAAGCACCGGCUAACUACGUG